UGGCGAACGGGGUGAGUAACGCGUGAGUAACCUGCCUUUCAGUGGGGGGACAACAGAGGGAAACUUCUGCUAAUACCGCAUAACGUGCCUUGGGGGCAUCCCUGGGGUACCAAAGAUUUAUUGCUGAAAGAUGGGCUUGCGUCUGAUUAGAUAGUUGGCGGGGUAACGGCCCACCAAGUCGACGAUCAGUAGCCGGUCUGAGAGGAUGAACGGCCACAUUGGGACUGAGAUACGGCCCAGACUCCUACGGAAGGCAGCAG
rnacentral:rRNA from 1 species